AGUCGAGCGAACAGACGAGGAGCUUGCUCCUCUGACGUUAGCGGCGGACGGGUGAGUAACACGUGGAUAACCUACCUAUAAGACUGGGAUAACUUCGGGAAACCGGAGCUAAUACCGGAUAAUAUAUUGAACCGCAUGGUUCAAUAGUGAAAGACGGUUUUGCUGUCACUUAUAGAUGGAUCCGCGCCGCAUUAGCUAGUUGGUAAGGUAACGGCUUACCAAGGCAACGAUGCGUAGCCGACCUGAGAGGGUGAUCGGCCACACUGGAACUGAGACACGGUCCAGACUCCUACGGGAGGCAGCAGUAGGGAAUCUUCCGCAAUGGGCGAAAGCCUGACGGAGCAACGCCGCGUGAGUGAUGAAGGUCUUCGGAUCGUAAAACUCUGUUAUUAGGGAAGAACAAAUGUGUAAGUAACUAUGCACGUCUUGACGGUACCUAAUCAGAAAGCCACGGCUAACUACGUGCCAGCAGCCGCGGUAAUACGUAGGUGGCAAGCGUUAUCCGGAAUUAUUGGGCGUAAAGCGCGCGUAGGCGGUUUUUUAAGUCUGAUGUGAAAGCCCACGGCUCAACCGUGGAGGGUCAUUGGAAACUGGAAAACUUGAGUGCAGAAGAGGAAAGUGGAAUUCCAUGUGUAGCGGUGCAAUGCGCAGAGAUAUGGAGGAACACCAGUGGCGAAGGCGACUUUCUGGUCUGUAACCGACGCUGAUGUGCGAAAGCGUGGGGAUCAAACAGGAUUAG
rnacentral:rRNA from 1 species